rnacentral:rRNA from 1 species
GUGGAUUAGAUACCCUGGUAGUCCACGCUGUAAACGAUGUCAACUAGCCGUUGGGGGUCUUCGUGCCCUCGGUGGCGUAGCUAACGCGCUAAGUUGACCGCCUGGGGAGUACGGUCGCAAGAUUAAAACUCAAAUGAAUUGACGGGGGCCCGCACAAGCGGUGGAGCAUGUGGUUUAAUUCGACGCAACGCGAAGAACCUUACCAGGUCUUGACAUCCAGAGAACUUUCCAGAGAUGGAUUGGUGCCUUCGGGAACUCUGAGACAGGUGCUGCACGGUCGUCGUCAGCU